rnacentral:rRNA from 1 species
CACGCAGUAAACUAUGAUCACUCGUUGUUGGCGAUACACCGUCAGUGACUAAGCGAAAGCAUUAAGUGAUCCACCUGGGGAGUACGGCCGCAAGGUUGAAACUCAAAGGAAUUGACGGGGGCCCGCACAAGCGGAGGAACAUGUGGUUUAAUUCGAUGAUACGCGAGGAACCUUACCUGGGCUUAAAUGCUUACUGCAUAAUGUGGAAACACAUUUUUCCUUCGGGACUGUUUGCAAGGUGC